rnacentral:rRNA from 1 species
UGAAACACGGACCAAGGAGUCUAUCAUGUGCACAAGUCAUUGGGUUUACUAAACCUACAGGCGAAGUGAAAGCAAAUUGAAUUUUUCUAGGAACGAUCCUAAGGCUACCACGCCUGGGCGCAGUUCCGGGGCUUGUCUUCCCUUCACGGGGUUGCAAGUACCUUGAGUGCAUAUAAUAGUACCCGAAAGAUAGUGAUCUAUGCCUGGCCGGGGUGAAACCGGAGGAAACUCUGGCGGAGGUUCGUAACAAUUCUGACGUGCAAAUCGAUUGUCAGAGCUGGGCAUAGGGGCGAAAGACUAAUCGAACUAUCUAGUAGCUGGUUCCCUCUGAAGUUUCCCUAAGGAUAGCUGGCAAUUAUAUUUACAUCUGGUAAAGCAAAUGACUAGAGCAGUCUGCUGGGACGCACAGUCCUAAAGCUAUUCUCAAACUUUUAAUGGAUAAAGAAUAGACGCUUGUUUUAUGCAAAGCGGUGAUGAAAAUCACGUGCCUAGUGGGCCAUUUUUGGUAAGCAGAAUUGGUGCUGUGGGAUGAACCAAUCGUUGAGUUAAGGGGCCUAAAGACACGAAAUUGAUACCAUAACACAGUUGCUUGCUUAAGACAGUUGGACGGUGGCCGCGGAAGUGGGUAUCCGCUAAGGAGUGUGUAAAAACUCACCUGCCG